rnacentral:rRNA from 1 species
AUUGAACGCUGGCGGCAGGCCUAACACAUGCAAGUCGAGCGGAUGAAGGGAACUUGCUCCUGGAUUCAGCGGCGGACGGGUGAGUAAUGCCUAGGAAUCUGCCUGGUAGUGGGGGAUAACGUCCGGAAACGGGCGCUAAUACCGCAUUCGUCCUGAGGGCGAACGUGGGGGAUCUUCGGACCUCACGCCAUCAGGUGAGCCUAGGUCGGAUUAGCUAGUUGGUGGGGUAAAGGCCUACCAAGGCGACGAUCCGUAACUGGUCUGAGAGGAUGAUCAGUCACACUGGAACUGAGACACGGUCCAGACUCCUACGGGAGGCAGCAGUGGGGAAUAUUGGACAAUGGGCGAAAGCCUGAUCCAGCCAUGCCGCGUGUGUGAAGAAGGUCUUCGGAUUGUAAAGCCCUUUAAGUGGGGAGGAAGGGCAGUAAGUUAAUACCUUGCUGUUUUGACGUUACCAACAGAAUAAGCACCGGCUAACUUCGUG